UAACACAUGCAAGUCGAACGAGUACGACCGGAGCUUGCUCUGGUACGGCUAGUGGCAAACGGGUGAGUAACGCGUAGGAACCUACCUAGUAGUUUGGGAUAGCCAUUGGAAACGAUGAUUAAUACCGGAUACGCCCUACGGGGGAAAGAGGGCUUCGGAUUAGAUGGGCCCGCGUUGGAUUAGUUUGUUGGUGGGGUAACGGCCUACCAAGGCAAUGAUGGGUAGCUGGUCUGAGAGGAUGAUCAGCCACACUGGCACUGAGACACGGUCCAGACUCCUACGGGAGGCAGCAGUGGGGAAUAUUGCACAAUGGGCGCAAGCCUGAUGCAGCCAUACCGCGUGUGUGAAGAAGGCCCUAGGGAAAUCGUUGUCGGUUAAUACCCGGCAGCGUUGACGGUACCUUACAAGAAAGCACCGGCUAACUCCGUGCCAGCAGCCGCGGUAAUACGGAGGGUGCGAGCGUUGUUCGGAAUCACUGGGCGUAAAGCGCGUGUAGGCGGCUGUCUAAGUCUGGCGUGAAAGCCCGGGGCUCACCCCCGGAAGUGCGCUGGAAACUGGACAGCUAGAGUAUGGGAGAGGGAAGCGGAAUUCCCUAGUGUAGAGGUGAAAUUCGUAGAUAUUAGGAGGAACACCGGUGGCGAAGGCGGCCAUCUGGGCCUAUUCUGACGCUGAGACGCGAAAGCGUGGGGAGCAAACAGGAUUAGAUACCCUGGUAGUCCACGCCGUAAACGAUGGGUACUAGGUGCCGGGGGUGUUGAUCUUUCGGUGUCGAAGCUAACGCGUUAAGCACUCCGCCUGGGGACUACGGUCGCAAGACUAAAACUCAAAGGAAUUGACGGGGACCCGCACAAGCGGUGGAGCAUGUGGUUUAAUUCGAUGCAACGCGAAGAACCUUACCAACCCUUGACAUAUGCGUCGCGAGGACCAGAGAUGGACCUCUUCAGUUCGGCUGGACGCAAUACAGGUGUUGCAUGGCUGUCGUCAGCUCGUGUCGUGAGAUGUUGGGUUAAGUCCCGCAACGAGCGCAACCCUCAUCCUUAGUUGCCAGCGAUUCGGUCGGGGACUCUAAGGAAACUGCCGGCGUUAAGCCGGAGGAAGGUGGGGAACGACGUCAAGUCAUCAUGGCCCUUACCGGGUUGGGCUACACACGUGCUACAAUGGUGGUGACAAUGGGAUGCAAAGUGGCAACACCUAGCCAAUCCCCAAAAACCGUCUCAGUUCGGAUUGUUCUCUGCAACUCGAGAGCAUGAAGUUGGAAUCGCUAGUAAUCGUGGAUCAGCAUGCCGCGGUGAAUACGUUCCC
rnacentral:rRNA from 1 species